UGGGGAAUAUUGCACAAUGGGCGCAAGCCUGAUGCAGCAACGCCGCGUGAGGGACGACGGCCUUCGGGUUGUAAACCUCUUUUGGCAGGGAAGAAGCGAAAGUGACGGUACCUGCAGAAAAAGCACCGGCUAACUACGUGCCAGCAGCCGCGGUGAUACGUAGGGUGCAAGCGUUGUCCGGAAUUAUUGGGCGUAAAGAGCUCGUAGGCGGUUUGUCGCGUCUGCUGUGAAAACCCGAGGCUCAACCUCGGGACUGCAGUGGGUACGGGCAAACUAGAGUGCGGUAGGGCAGAUUGGAAUUCCUGGUCUAGCGGUGGAAUGCGCAGAUAUCAGGAGGAACACCGAUGGCGAAGGCAGAUCUCUCGGCCGUAACUGACGCUGAGGAGCGAAAGCAUGGGGAGCGAA
rnacentral:rRNA from 1 species